rnacentral:rRNA from 1 species
CUGGCUCAGGAUGAACGCUGGCGGCGUGCCUAACACAUGCAAGUCGUACGCGAAAGGGGCUUCGGCCCUGAGUAAAGUGGCGCACGGGUGAGUAACACGUGGAUAAUCUGCCCGGUGAUCAGGGAUAACAUUCCGAAAGGAAUGCUAAUACCGGAUAAGCCCACGCAUCCUUCGGGGUGAGCGGGAAAAGGUGGGGACCUUCGGGCCUACUGUCACUGGAUGAGUCCGCGUCCCAUUAGCUAGUUGGUGGGGUAAUGGCCUACCAAGGCGACGAUGGGUAGCUGGUCUGAGAGGAUGAUCAGCCACACUGGAACUGAGACACGGUCCAGACUCCUACGGGAGGCAGCAGUGGGGAAUUUUGCGCAAUGGGCGAGAGCCUGACGCAGCAACGCCGCGUGAGUGAUGAAGGCCUUCGGGUCGUAAAGCUCUGUCAGAGGGAAAGAACAACCUGCCGGUUAAUACCCGGCGGGCCUGACGGUACCCUCAAAGGAAGCACCGGCUAACUCCGUGCCAGCAGCUGC